rnacentral:rRNA from 1 species
CGCUGAACUUAAGCAUAUCAAUAAGCGGAGGAAG